rnacentral:rRNA from 1 species
CCUACGGGAGGCAGCAGUGAGGAAUAUUGGUCAAUGGCCGUAAGGCUGAACCAGCCAAGUCGCGUGAAGGAAGAAGGAUCUAUGGUUUGUAAACUUCUUUUAUCGGGGAAUAAAGGUAUCCACGUGUGGAUAUUUGCAUGUACCCUAUGAAUAAGCAUCGGCUAACUCCGUGCCAGCAGCCGCGGUAAUACGGAGGAUGCGAGCGUUAUCCGGAUUUAUUGGGUUUAAAGGGUGCGUAGGUUGUUUUUUAAGUCAGCGGUGAAAGUCUGUGGCUCAACCAUAAAAUUGCCGUUGAAACUGGAAGACUUGAGUGUGAGAGAGGUAGGCGGAAUGCGUGGUGUAGCGGUGAAAUGCAUAGAUAUCGCGCAGAACUCCGAUUGCGAAGGCAGCUUGCUAGGCCAUAACUGACGCUGAAGCACGAAAGCGUGGGGAUCGAACAGGAUUAGAUACCCCAGUAGUC